rnacentral:sRNA from 1 species
ACAAGGUCUCCGUAGGUGAACCUGCGGAGGGAUCAUUAUUAUGCGAGAUGCUGCUGCACGCCACGCGGACGCCAACAUCCCAUUCGGUUGGGGGGCGCGAGCGGGGUUCAGAAGAUGCAGCGAGCUACUCCCUGUACAAAACGCCUGCCUGCGGGUAGGAGGGCAGAUUCGUCUAGCCCCGGGGUUUAGCGGAUCUUCAUUACCCUUUGUUGUCAGACUCUGUUGCCUCGGGGGCGACCCUGCCUUGAUUGGCUUGGGGGACCCCCGAUGGACAUUAAUCAAACUCUUGCGUAUUUUUGUCGUCUGAGUGAUUAUAUCAAUCAAAUUAAAACUUUCAACAACGGAUCUCUUGGUUCUGGCAUCGAUGAAGAACGCAGCGAAAUGCGAUAAGUAAUGUGAAUUGCAGAAUUCAGUGAAUCAUCGAAUCUUUGAACGCACAUUGCGCCCCUUGGUAUUCCGGGGGGCAUGCCUGUUCGAGCGUCAUUUCACCACUCAAGCCUCGCUUGGUAUUGGACGACGUGGUCCGCCGCGCGCCCCAAAUCGACCGGCUGGGUCGAUCGUCCCCUUAGCGUUGUGGUUCAUCUAAAUCGCUAAAGGUCUGUCGGUCGGUCACGCCGUGAAACAAACCAAUUUUUUAAAGGUUGACCUCGGAUCAGGUAGGGAUACCCGCUGAACUUAAGC